UGAGUAACCUGCCCUUAACUCUGGGAUAAGCCUGGGAAACUGGGUCUAAUACCGGAUAUGACUCCUCAUCGCAUGGUGGGGGGUGGAAAGCUUUUUGUGGUUUUGGAUGGACUCGCGGCCUAUCAGCUUGUUGGUGGGUAAUGGCUCACCAAGGCGACGACGGGUAGCCGGCCUGAGAGGGUGACCGGCCACACUGGGACUGAGACACGGCCCAGACCUCCUACGGGAGCAG
rnacentral:rRNA from 1 species